GUGAGUAGAGCUAUUAAAACACAUCAACACUAUGCUCUAUGAAAUGCAUCAUAGCACAAACAAUUCACAUAAGGGUUGGGCGAACUCGUCACCAAUUAGUCCAAGUUAACUCUGUGCCAGGCCUGUAGAAUGGGGUCCUGGUCUUUCCUGUCAGAACAUACAUUACUUACCAUUUUCCCAGGGCCUCCUCUGGCUCCUGGUCUUCAAGUCCCAUAACCGUGCCUUACUCUGUGCCAGGCCUGUAGACUGGGGCCUGGACUUGUUUACUCUGUGCCAGGCCUGUAGCAUGGGGCCUGGUCUUCCUGUCUUGGACUAACUGGGUCAUCCGACAUUCACCCACAACAACAACAAUUUAUGCAAUGCGGCAUAUUCGUGAAAACUAAUGCAAUCAUCCUAUUGCAUAAUCAUGAUGCAUGAAACAUGAUAAAGCAUUUAAUUUAAAAGAUUAAGUUAUAGUUCCACUCACCUCUGGCUGACUCUGACAAUACCGAAGCAGCUGAACUCACUGCUGGGGUCCUCGGUUCCUCGGGUCCGAACCUACACAGGUGGACUCAAAUGAGGGACCAAACAUACCUGAACAUAACUCUAAAAUAUUCCCCAAAAACCCCCUAAAACAUCCUGAAAAUAUCA
rnacentral:lncRNA from 1 species